ensembl:lncRNA
CAGAUAAUGGAAGCCCUGUAGAAACCGUUUGGGUGAAAAUACAAGGAGAGAGCAAUACAAAGGAUACUGUUGUAGGAGUUUAUUAUAGACCCCCUGGACAAACAGAAGAUAUGGAUGAACUAUUUAUACAUCAGAUGGCCAAGCUCUCGGGGAAACACGACCUAGUGAUUAUGGGAGAUUUUAACUAUCCGGACAUUUGUUGGGAAUCUCUCUCUGGCAAAAGUCACGGGUCCAAUAAAUUCUUAUCCUCUCUGGCAGAUAACUUCAUUUUCCAAAGGAUGGAGGAAAAAACAAGGGGGUCUGCUAUCUUGGACCUAAUCCUUACCAACAGGGAGGAAAUGGUUGAGGAAGUAAGGGUGACUGGGACCCUGGGUGGCAGUGACCAUGCUAUCAUUGAGUUUUGGAUAUCGAAGGGAGGAAGAUCUGAGAGGACUCAGACUUCAAGGUUAGACUUCAGAGGAGCAGAUUUUGAUGGACUCAGAAGGAGGGUAGGAAGGAUCCAGUGGCUGGAUGUCUUAAAGGACAGAAAUGUUCAGGAAGGAUGGGAAAUUUUGAGAAAGGAGAUUCUAGAGGCACAAUCUUUAACAAUUCCUAAAAGAAGAAAGAAUGGCAAGCAUCUAAAGAGACCAGGGUGGAUGAACCCUGAACUUAAUCACUUGCUAAAAAGAAAAAAAGAAAUGUUUAAAAAAUGGAAAGAGGGGGACAUAUCAAAAGAAGAAUAUAAUGCAAUCUGCAGGAACUGCAGGAUAAGUGUCAGAAAGGCUAAAGCUAAAAAUGAAUUGAGGAUUGCAAGAGAGGCCAAAAACAAUAAAAAAGGGUUUUGGGGGUAUGUCAGAAGCAAAAGAAAAGUCAAAGAAGCUAUAGGACCUUUACAGGAUGAGAAGGGUGAUUUGGUCAAAAAUGACAUUCAGAAGGCAGAACUUCUGAACUCCUAUUUUGCAUCUGUUUUCUCUCAGAAAGGAAAUGAAACAUCAGUUGGCCUUCACUGUGCUGUUGAGGGAAUAAGAGAAUCAAGGCUCUGUAUGGACAAGGAGAAGGUGAGGGAACACUUAGCAAACUUAAAUGUAUUCAAGUCUCCAGGUCCAGAUGAAUUACAUCCUAGGGUGCUGAAGGAAUUAUCUGAUAUAAUUGCUGAACCACUCUCUGUGAUAUUUGAGAACUCAUGGAAAACAGGAGAAGUCCCAGAAGAUUGGAGAAGGGCGAAUGUUGUACCUAUCUUUAAAAAAGGAAAGAAGGCUGACCCAGGCAACUACAGGCCUGUGAGCCUGACUUCAAUACCAGGCAAGAUCCUUGAACAAAUCCUUAAACAGCAUAUAUGGGAACACUUGGAUGGGAAUGCAGUAAUUAACCANAGCCAACAUGGAUUUGUAACAAGCAAGUCAUGCCAGACUAAUCUCAUUUCCUUUUAUGACAAAAUUACUGGAUGGAUCGAUCAAGGAAAGGCUGUGGACAUAGUAUAUCUUGACUUUAGCAAAGCAUUUGACAAGGUGUCU